ACCUGCCCGGUGCGCCCCAGACGCACCCGGGUUGCAGACACACAUCGCGCCAUGGAAGAAAUGUGCGCUCAAGGGCGUU
rnacentral:sRNA from 1 species